UACGUAGGGUGCAAGCGUUAUCCGGAAUUAUUGGGCGUAAAGAGCUCGUAGGCGGUUUGUCACGUCUGCUGUGAAAACUGGAGGCUCAACCUCCAGCCUGCAGUGGGUACGGGCAGACUAGAGUGGCGGUAGGGGAGAUUGGAAUUCCUGGUGUAGCGGUGGAAUGCGCAGAUAUCAGGAGGAACACCGAUGGCGAAGGCAGAUCUCUGGGCCGUAACUGACGCUGAGGAGACGAAAGCAUGGGGAGCGAACAGG
rnacentral:rRNA from 1 species